UACGUAGGUGGCAAGCGUUGUCCGGAUUUACUGGGCGUAAAGCGUGUGUAGGCGGACCUUUAAGUAGAAAGUGAAAGGUUGGUGCUCAACACCAACAUUGCUCUCUAUACUGGAGGUCUUGAGUGUCGGAGAGGAAGAUGGAACUGCACGUGUAGCGGUGAAAUGCGUUGAGAUGUGCAGGAACACCAAUGGCGAAGGCAAUCUUCUGGACGAAGACUGACGCUGAGACACGAAAGCCAAGGUAGCAAACAGG
rnacentral:rRNA from 1 species